rnacentral:rRNA from 1 species
CGGGAGUCAACAGUGGGGAAUAUUGCACAAUGGGGGAAACCCUGAUGCAGCAACCCCGCGUGGAGGAUGACACAUUUCGGUGCGUAAACUCCUUUUAUAUGGGAAGAUAAUGACGGUACCAUAUGAAUAAGCACCGGUAACUCC